GAGAUCACAUCUCUCCUGUACUAGCUUCUCUGCAUUGGCUCCCUGUAAAAUGUAGAAUAGAAUUUAAAAUCCUCCUCCUCACCUAUAAAGCUCUUCAUGGUCAGGCCCCUUCAUAUCUUAAAGAGCUCAUAGUACCCUAUUACCCCACUAGAACACUACGUUCUCUGAAUGCUGGGCUACUUGUGGUUCCUAUAGUCUCUAAAAGUAGAACAGGAGCCAGAGCCUUCAGUUACCAAGCUCCUCUCCUGUGGAACCAGCUUCCAGUUGUGGUUCGGGAGGCAGACACCCUCACCACAUUCAAGAGUAGGCUUAAGACAUUCCUCUUUGAUAAAGCUUAUAGUUAGGGCUGGAUCAGGUGAGUCCUGAACCAUCCCUUAGUUAUGCUGCUAUAGGCCUAGACUAUCGGGGGAUUUCCCAUGGUGCACUGAGCUCCUCCCUUCCUCUCUCUUUCUGCACUCAUUCAUGUUCCAUUAAUGCAUGUUACUAACUUCACUUCUUCCCCGGAGUUCUUGUGCUUUCUCGUCUCGCAGGUUCUUGUCGAUCCUGGUGGAGCCUCCUGCCAUGGUCCUGCUAGAUUGCCAUUGCUAAUACUGUUGUUGCUGUGCACCUGUCUGUCUGUCUGUCUGUCUCUCGCUCUCUCUCUCUCUCUCUCACCCCAACUGGUCGAGACAGACAACCACCCACCUAGAGCCGGAGGAUCUGUCCUAGGUUUCUGCCUUUUAACAGGCAGUGUUUCCUUGCCCUUGUCUCCAAGGUCUUGCUCAUGGUGGUACUGUUGGGUCUCUGUAAAUAAUGUUAUAAAGAGUUCGGUCUAGACCUGCUCUAUUUGAAAAGUGUCCUGAGAUAACUUCUGUUAUGAAUUGGCGCUAUACAAAUAAAAUUGAAUUGAAUUGAA